rnacentral:rRNA from 1 species
UGGGGAAUAUUGCACAAUGGGCGAAAGCCUGAUGCAGCGACGCCGCGUGAGGGAUGACGGCCUUCGGGUUGUAAACCUCUUUCAGUAGGGACGAAGCGCAAGUGACGGUACCUGCAGAAGAAGCACCGGCUAACUACGUGCCAGCAGCCGCGGUAAUACGUAGGGUGCGAGCGUUGUCCGGAAUUACUGGGCGUAAAGAGCUCGUAGGCGGUUUGUCACGUCGUCUGUGAAAUCCUAGGGCUUAACCCUGGACGUGCAGGCGAUACGGGCUGACUUGAGUACUACAGGGGAGACUGGAAUUACUGGUGUAGCGGUGGAAUGCACAGAUAUCAGGAAGAACACCGAUGGCGAAGGCAGGUCUCUGGGUAGUAACUGACGCUGAGGAGCGAAAGCAUGGGUAGCGAACAGG